CGGGGGUGAGCCCGACGGGCUCUGACGCGAGCGCAGUCCAGCCAGAAUGUCGCGGUCCGCCACCCGCCCCUGGGGGUGCGGAGAGGCCAGGCGCGCGCGAGCCAGGUCCGCGGGCCGCUGAGCCGCAGGCCAUGGAGGACGAGCAGCCCGACAGCUUGGAGGGCUGGGUGCCGGUCCGCGAGGACCUCUUCGCCGAGCCCGAGCGGCACCAGCUGCGCUUCCUCGUGGCCUGGAACGACGCGGAGGGCAAGUUCGCGGUGACCUGUCACGACCGCACGGCGCAGCGGCGGCGGCGCGAGGGGAGCCGGCCCGAGCCCGAGCCGGCCGCGUCCCCUCCCAGCUGGGCGGGCCUGCUCUCUGCCGCCGGGCUCCGCGGCGCUCACCGGCAGCUGGCGGCGCUGUGGCCGCCGCUGGAGAGCUGCUUCCCGCCGCUGCCGCCGGAGCUGGACGCACGCGCCGGCGGGGCCUGGGGCCUGGGGCUCGGGCUGUGGGCGCUGGUGUGGCCGGCGCGCACGGGCCUCGGGGACGCGGCGCUGCAGGAGCUGUGCGGGCGCCUGGAGCGCUACCUGGGCGACGCUGCGAGCGGCUGCGGCGGCGCAGCGGUGCGCGACGCGCUCUUCCCCGCCGACGGCGGCGCGCCCGACUGCGAGAGCCUGCGCGACUUCCGGGAGAGGGCCCUGCGCGCGCGGUGGACCGCGGCGGGCGCGCGGCUGCGCCAGGUUCUUCAGGGGCACGAUAAAGCCCACACCAUGGUAGCACUAAUGAAUGUUUAUCGAGAGGAAGAUGAAGCAUACCAGGAAUUAGUUACUGGGGCAACUAUGUUCUUCCAGUAUCUGCUGAAGCCAUUUAGGGAUAUGAGAGAAGUUGCAACUUUAUGUAAGCUUGGUAUUUUGAAAUCCUUGGAUGAGGAUGAUUUGGGUCCUAAGAGGAUAGUUGCCUUGCAGAAGGAAGCCAAAGAAUGGACCAGACAGGCUGAAGAAGCUAUAGUCUCUAUUCAGGACAUUACAGUGAAUUAUUUUAAAGAAACAGUAAAAGCAUUAGCAGGAAUGCAGAAACAAAUGGAACAGGACAAGAAGAGAUUUGGCCAGGCUGCCUGGGCCACAGCAACUCCCAGGUUAGAAAAACUCAAGCUGAUGUUAGCCCGAGAGACUCUGCAGCUCACGAGAGCCAGAGAGUUGUGUUUAAAUCACAAAAGAGCUGAAAUUCAGAGAAAGAUGGAAGAUCUUCCAGAACAAGAAAAAAAUAUAGAUGUUGUAGAUGAAUUAGAAAUACAAUAUUAUGAAGUCCAGUUAGAGCUGUAUGAGGUUAAAUUCGAGAUAUUAAAAUAUGAAGAAAUACUACUUAUAACGCAGUUGGACUCAAUUAAAAGGCUUAUAAAAGAUAAAGAGGAGGAAGUUGUCUACUACGACCCAUGUGAAAGUCCAGAGGAGCUGGGAGCCCUGGAUGGCGUGCCAGGGCUGCCGGGGGACAGGGGCGUGCAGGUGAGAGAGCUGAGCCGGCGGUACCAGCGUCUGGAGUCCCAGCGGGGCAGGGUCUGCGCCCGGAGAGCCCGCCUCAGGAACAGACAGGAUCAGUGCAAAGAGAAUCAUCGGCUCCGACUGCAGUUGGCUGAAGAAAGUAGGAAACAUUUUCAUCAGCAUCAUAGUAUCCAGGCGAAAAGAGACAAAAUGAAAGAAGAGGAGCAAAAGAAGAGAGAAUGGAUAAACCAGGAACGCAAAAAAACGCUCCAGCGGUUGAGAGCAUUUAAAGAGAGAUGUCCAGGUGGGUCUGUACUAAAGACCCCUUGCUCAGAACCUGCAGCUCCACGCCUGCCACGUGGGCCUUCCCCGCAGACCUCUCCGCUGGCCGCCAGAAGCCAUCUGUCCUCUGGGGAGGCCCGAAGCGUGCCCCUCUCUGAAGUCAGUAAUGCGCAAACCCCCGAGGAGCCACAUGGCUCUGGAAAUACUGUCCAGAGCUCUGUUGCUGUUGGUGACCAAACACACUGCAGAUCCAGCGAGGAGCUGUCACCGCCGCCUCCCCCUCCCCCACCCCCACCCCCUCCCCCGCCCCCUCCCCCACUGCCCCUCUCUGCUCUGCCCUUUUCUUUUUCUCCGUCCACAAAUCACCAGAACUUACACUUGAGGACGCUACUAACAGCCGAUGAGCCACGUCCCCUGGUGUGCGAAUCGUCCGAGCCGUCCGCUGGAAGAGCGCGUUAUUCCUCAGCUGGUUUCGCAGGCCCAGAUCAACCGGCCCAUCUGCACGGGGUUUGCAACAACACAGUGUGAACGAAGAGCAAGAGCACGCACGCCUCGGCCUGCGGUUUGGGUGUGGGCAGACCUCUGGGCGGCGCUCAUCCCAGCUCAGGGCUAACGCACACGCGGUGUCGGGAGGCCCUACUCAGCACAUGCACAGCGCCUCAUUUCACCGCAAAGAAUCAGAAGAUGGUCCAUGGACGAAGUGCUGGCCUCCCUAAGGGGUGGCACUAGCCCUCUGCGGCGGGUGGACGCGCCCGCUCUGACCCCUCCCCACGCCGCCUUCGACGAGCAGCUUCUGGCUGCCAUACGGCGG